rnacentral:rRNA from 1 species
UACGUAGGAUGCAAGCGUUGUCCGGAAUUAUUGGGCGUAAAGAGCGUGUAGGCGGCCAGGUAGGUCGGUUGCGAAAACUGGAGGCUCAACCUUCAGAGGUCGACCGAAACCAUCUGGCUAGAGUCCGGGAGAGGAGAGUGGAAUUCCUGGUGUAGCGGUGAAAUGCGCAGAUAUCAGGAAGAACACCCGUGGCGAAAGCGGCUCUCUGGAACGGUACUGACGCUGAGACGCGAAAGCGUGGGGAGCGAACAGG